rnacentral:rRNA from 1 species
UACGGAGGGGGCUAGCGUUGUUCGGAAUUACUGGGCGUAAAGCGCACGUAGGCGGCUUUGCAAGUUAGAGGUGAAAGCCCGGGGCUCAACUCCGGAAUUGCCUUUAAAACUGCAUCGCUAGAGUUGUGGAGAGGUAAGUGGAAUUCCGAGUGUAGAGGUGAAAUUCGUAGAUAUUCGGAAGAAAAACAGUGGAGAAGGCGACUUACUGGACACAUACUGAAGCUGAGGUGAGAAAGAGUGGGGAGCAAAAAGG